GAUGAACGCUAGCGGCAGGCUUAAUACAUGCAAGUCAAGGGGGUAGCAAUACAACCGGCGCACGGGUGAGUAACGCGUACACAACAUACCAUAUACUGGAGUAUAGCUUUGGGAAACUGAAGGUAAUCCUCCAUAACAUUGCGAGAGGGCAUCUGAUUGCAAUUAAAGUUUCGGCGGUAUAUGAUUGGUGUGCGUUUGAUUAGCUAGUUGGUAGGGUAACGGCCUACCAAGGCGACGAUCAAUAGCUGGCGUGAGAGCGCGACCAGCCACACUGGAACUGAGACACGGUCCAGACUCCUACGGGAGGCAGCAGUAGGGAAUAUUGGACAAUGGAGGAAACUCUGAUCCAGCCAUGCCGCGUGAUAGAUGAAGGCCCUCCUGGGUUGUAAAUAUCUUUUAUCUGGGAAGAAACACUCCUAUUCUUAGGAACUUGACGGUACCAGAGGAAUAAGCACCGGCUAACUCCGUGCCAGCAGCCGCGGUAAU
rnacentral:rRNA from 1 species